rnacentral:rRNA from 1 species
CCUACGGGUGGCAGCAGUGAGGAAUAUUGGUCAAUGGGCGCGAGCCUGAACCAGCCAAGUCGCGUGAGGGAUGAAGGCUCUAUGGAUCGUAAACUUCUUUUAUAAGGGAAUAAAGUGUGGGACGUGUACUUGUUUGUAUGUACCUUAUGAAUAAGGAUCGGCUAACUCCGUGCCAGCAGCCGCGGUAAUACGGAGGAUCCGAGCGUUAUCCGGAUUUAUUGGGUUUAAAGGGUGCGUAGGCGGGCUGUUAAGUCAGCGGUGAAAGUCUGUGGCUCAACCAUAGAAUUGCCGUUGAUACUGGGGGGCUAGAGUGUAUUUGCGGCAGGCGGAAGGCGUGGUGUAGCGGUGAAAUGCUUAGAUAUCACGCAGAACCCCGAUUGCGAAGGCAGCCUGCCAAGCCAUGACUGACGUUGAUGCACGAAAGCGUGGGGAUCAAACAGGAUUAGAUACCCUAGUAGUC